rnacentral:rRNA from 1 species
GGGCUUGCGGGUGCUAUACAUGCAGUCGAGCGAACAGACAAGGAGCUUGCUCCUUUGACGUUAGCGGCGGACGGGUGAGUAACACGUGGGUAACCUACCUAUAAGACUGGGAUAACUUCGGGAAACCGGAGCUAAUACCGGAUAAUAUUUCGAACCGCAUGGUUCGAUAGUGAAAGAUGGUUUUGCUAUCACUUAUAGAUGGACCCGCGCCGUAUUAGCUAGUUGGUAAGGUAACGGCUUACCAAGGCGACGAUACGUAGCCGACCUGAGAGGGUGAUCGGCCACACUGGAACUGAGACACGGUCCAGACUCCUACGGGAGGCAGCAGUAGGGAAUCUUCCGCAAUGGGCGAAAGCCUGACGGAGCAACGCCGCGUGAGUGAUGAAGGUCUUCGGAUCGUAAAACUCUGUUAUUAGGGAAGAACAUACGUGUAAGUAACUAUGCACGUCUUGACGGUACCUAAUCAGAAAGCCACGGCUAACUACGUGCCAGCAGCCGCGGUAAUACGUAGGUGGCAAGCGUUAUCCGGAAUUAUUGGGCGUAAAGCGCGCGUAGGCGGUUUUUUAAGUCUGAUGUGAAAGCCCACGGCUCAACCGUGGAGGGUCAUUGGAAACUGGAAAACUUGAGUGCAGAAGAGGAAAGUGGAAUUCCAUGUGUAGCGGUGAAAUGCGCAGAGAUAUGGAGGAACACCAGUGGCGAAGGCGACUUUCUGGUCUGUAACUGACGCUGAUGUGCGAAAGCGUGGGGAUCAAACAGGAUUAGAUACCCUGGUAGUCCACGCCGUAAACGAUGAGUGCUAAGUGUUAGGGGGUUUCCGCCCCUUAGUGCUGCAGCUAACGCAUUAAGCACUCCGCCUGGGGAGUACGACCGCAAGGUUGAAACUCAAAGGAAUUGACGGGGACCCGCACAAGCGGUGGAGCAUGUGGUUUAAUUCCAAGCAACGCGAAGAACCUUACCAAAUCUUGACAUCCUUUGACAACUCUAAAAAAAGAGCCUUCCCCUUCAGGGGAAUAAUUGACGGGUGGUGCAUGGUGUUCUUCAGUCCGUGUCGUGAGAAGUGUGGGUAAGGACCGGGAUGGAAUCGAACCCUUUAGCUUAGGUGCCUAUUUUAAGUUUGGAACCCUUAUUAUACGGCCGGUUAACAACCGGG